GCGCGUGUAGCCCAACGGCAGAGGCGACGGUUUUAAACAUCAUUCAAAUAAGAGUUCAAAUCUUUUCACGCGCA
rnacentral:tRNA from 1 species